ACAGAUCGUUCAGAGUUUGAUCCUGGCUCAGGACGAACGCUGGCGGCGCGCCCAACACAUGCAAGUCGAACGGAGAUACUACGACAGAAGCCUUCGGGUGGACGAUGUAGUAUUUUAGUGGCGGACGGGUGAGUAACACGUGAGCAACCUGCCUAUCAGAGGGGGAUAACGUUCUGAAAAGAACGCUAAUACCGCAUAACGUAUCCAGAGGGCAUCCAAAGGAUACCAAAGGAGCAAUCCGCUGAUAGAUGGGCUCGCGUCCGAUUAGGUAGUUGGUAGGGUAACGGCCUACCAAGCCGACGAUCGGUAGCCGGACUGAGAGGUUGAACGGCCACAUUGGGACUGAGACACGGCCCAG
rnacentral:rRNA from 1 species